GCCUGGAGGGCGGGGCCGCGGCCGGGAGCCUCAAGUCCGCGUUUCGCGCCAGACUCCAGUGAGGGCUUGAGUGACUCACCAAAGGUGGCACAGAUGUGGAAUGAUGGAUUCAGAAUGGAAAUCCAGGAUUGCCUGACUCCAAAGCCAGUAUUUUUAAACCCUACGUAGAUAUCAACAGCCAGAGGCUACUGAAUGCUGGAUGGCUUCACUGUUGGGCAGGCCACAUCAACCCUUUAAAUGCCUCGAGAACAUCCUGACCCAGGAGCAACAAAACACUUUGGACCAGUAAGUAAUCUUGUUGCAGUAAAUGUUCUGCAAUUUGGGAUUUGCAAAUCUCUGAAUUUGGUAUCUUUCCUCUAUUAACUGAAGAUUUUCUCUGGUUUGAUCCUGGCUUCAUUCCUUGUCUCUCUGGCUUCCUGGUUUAUUCCAUCUUGGUUCUCUGAAUACUUGUGUUUGCUCAUCUGUUGAGCUGCAAUUUUUACCUGGGUGCAAGCCUUCUGUUUGCAGGCUACCUUCCCUUUCUGACACUCAAGCACUGGACCCAGCCAUUGUUAAUUUCCAGUUCCUCAGGGAGCAACAAAUAUUCUAAAACAAAAAGCAAAAUAUUUGAAAAACCUAUAUUCACAGAAAUAUGGUAUCUUAAUCUUUAGUUUUACAUGGCUGGUUAGAAGUUAUAGUUUAAAAAAAUCUAAGUAGUAAAUACUGCCUACUUGAAAGUAGUUCUACAUUUGAAAUCCUGUUUAUCUUGGAUAUUUUAAUAAUUAAAUAUUUUAAAAUUACUAUACCAUAGAUCAAAUUUUAGCAAUUAAAUGAGAAGGAUGAUCAAAAAGGAUGAUUUAACCAUCAGAAAGAUACUGAAAUUGCACAUAACUGUGUGAGAGAAAAAUUAAUCUUCAAGCUGUGUAUUAAAGCUAAAUUUAAUUUCGAUGAUGAUGAUGAUGAUGACGGUGAUGAUAAACUAAUCUGGCGUCUAUUAAUACAAUGGUAAGUUUAGUUCAACUAAUGUUCUGCUUACUUGACAUUCUAAAAUAUGGCAUGAUGAAGUUUUU